rnacentral:rRNA from 1 species
AACGAACGCUGGCGGCAGGCUUAACACAUGCAAGUCGAACGCCCCGCAAGGGGAGUGGCAGACGGGUGAGUAACGCGUGGGAAUCUACCCAGUUCUACGGAACAACUGAGGGAAACUUCAGCUAAUACCGUAUACGCCCUACGGGGGAAAGAUUUAUCGGAAUUGGAUGAGCCCGCGUUGGAUUAGCUAGUUGGUGAGGUAACGGCUCACCAAGGCGACGAUCCAUAGCUGGUCUGAGAGGAUGAUCAGCCACACUGGGACUGAGACACGGCCCAGACUCCUACGGGAGGCAGCAGUGGGGAAUAUUGGACAAUGGGCGCAAGCCUGAUCCAGCCAUGCCGCGUGAGUGAUGAAGGCCUUAGGGUUGUAAAGCUCUUUCAGUGGGGACGAGUAAAUGACGGUACCCACAGAAGAAGCCCCGGCUAACUUCGUG